GCCCGGGUGGCUCAGUCGGUUGGGCGUCUGACUUGGGCUCAGGUCAUGGGUUCGAGCCCCGUGUCGGGCU